GACGAACGCUGGCGGCGUGCUUAACACAUGCAAGUCGAACGGUGAAGCGCCUCCCUUUUUGGUGGCUGUGGUUGAGUGGCGAACGGGUGCGUAACACUUGAGUAACCUGCACUCUUCUUCUGGAUAACCGCAUGAAAGUGUGGCUCAUAUGGGAUCUUCUGGGUCUGUCGCAUGAUGGGACUGGGUAAGAUAUUGUUUCGGUGGGGGCUGCGCUCGCGGUCUAUCAGCUUGUUGGUGUGGUGAUGGCCUUUCAAGGCUGUGCCGGUUAGCCGGCCUGAGAGGGUGGACGGUCAGACUGGGACUGAGGCACGGCCCAGACUGCGACAGGAGGCAGCAGUGGGGAGGAUGGCGCAAUGGGCGCAAGCCUGAUGCAGGGACGCCGCGGGAGGGAUGGAGGCGUGCGGGUUGUGAACCUCUUUCGCCAGUGAAGCGGGCCUGCCUCUUUUGUGGGUGGGUUGACGGUAGCGGGAUAAGAAGCGCCGGCUAACUACGUG
rnacentral:rRNA from 1 species